rnacentral:rRNA from 1 species
GACGAACGCUGGCGGCGCGCUUAACACAUGCAAGUCGAACGGAAAGGCCUGCUUUCCCUUGUGGAUUGCGGGUACUCGAGUGGCGAACGGGUGAGUAACACGUGAGUGAUCUGCCCCCAACUUGGGUAUAAGCCUGGGAAACUGGGUCUAAUUCCCGAUAGGACUGCAGGGUGGUGCCUGUGGUGGAAAACGGUUUUCUAGUGGUUGGGGAUGAGCUCGCGGCCUAUCAGCUUGUUGGUGGGGUAAUGGCCUACCAAGGCGGCGACGGGGAGCCGGCCUGAGAGGGUGGACGGCCCCAUUGGGACUGAGAUCCGGCCCCGACUCCUGCGGGAGGCAGCAGUGGGGAGUAUUACACAAUGGGCGGAAGCCUGAUGCAGCGACGCCGCGUGGGGGAUGACGGCCUUCGGGUUGUAAACUCCUUUCGACCGCGAGGAAGCCACCUGGUUGGAAGGGUGGUGACGGUAGUGGUAGAAGAAGCACCGGCUAACUACGUG